rnacentral:lncRNA from 1 species
CCAGUACGAUUCAAUUGAAAACUGACCGGUAUGAUCGAUUUUGACCAAUAUAAUUACAUGACCGAUAUAAUUAUUGUUCGUACCAGUAUUGGGAUCAAUUCACUAAUUUUCCUAUUGAACCGGUCAACACGAACUGAUUUUUAAACAUUGGUUUUAUUUGCAUUUUUUAUUUAAAACAUAAAUAAGCAAACCAGAACUAUACCACCAGAUGGAGAUCAAGGGAUUGGGAUUUUAUCUUUUUUUGGACAAAC